AUGACAAAAGUCAAAAGCUCCUCAAGGGCGCCCUGAGGACAGCUUUUUACAUUUUGUUGCUUUCUGCAUCUCUGGACAUAUUGUGGAUGUUUAAUAAUUAUAUUUUUAAUGAUUGAAGGAAUAACACAGAAGGGAAUCCUGCAUUUAUUGAGCAGGGCGUUGGAAUGCAAAACUUUAAGAUACUUUAACUGUGAAAUUCUUGGAAGCAUUCAUCAUCCUGUGGAAAGCUAAAUUCAAUGAGGUCAGGAAAUCCAAAUGCAGGAAGAAAAAUGAAAACUUCAGCUAAAAUCAUUACAGUGGUUAAGGGACAGGAGACAGGAAAAUUCUGGGCAGAAGAGGGCAGGUCCCCAGCGAGGGCUUCACCUUCAAGCCUGGAACUAUGGCCCAAAGUGAGAAUGUACAUCCCUGUUUUCCCGCUUGAAUGUUGCCUUUUCCAAAACCACCCAUGGCCUCCCCUGCCCCCAUCCUGUGCCCAUAAAAACCCCAGGAUCAGCCAGCAGAGAGAGGAGAAGAGGAGAUGCAGCUGGAUGUCAGAAACUACCGUUGGAGAGAAGCAGCUUGACUUCAGAGGGACAGGUUGAUGGCACAGCUUUGGAGAGGGGUUUGGCCAUCCCCAGCCAGACUCCAGAGAAAGAUUACCUUCUCCUAAUCCGUCCCCUUUGCAGCUCCCCUUCCUGCUGAGAGCCACCUUCAUCGGCAAUAAAAUCCCCCACAUUGACCAUCCUUCUAAUUCAUGUAUGCAACAUUCUUCCUGGAUGCCAGAAAAGAACUCAGGUGUGGGUGCAAAAGGCUGUCACACUGACCCUCUACUGAGCUGUUAACACUUAAGCUGUCCAUGGAUGGCAAAGCUAAAAGAGCACCGACUAUAACACUCCUUCUGGGGCUUCAGGGGUCAUGGGCACCCUCAAGACACUGCCACAGGACCGGCACAAAGUUUGUUUCUGCUGGCACCCCAAAACGCCCACCCCAGCUCGUGCACCUCCUCACCUGCAUGCCCCCUUCAGCAAGGGGUUAAGCACUGUGGGUUUGAGUGAGUAGAGCUUGCCCCUGCCGGUGCUGAAGCAGCUGACUAGUUCCAGUGCCUGCACUCCAGUUCCUGCCCACAGAGGGGUCAGGGAAAUUUCCUGCUUCAACAUCACUGUAGUGCUACAAAUGUACUAGGUUUAUUAAUAGUGCCCCACAAAUUAAAAAUAAAGUUAUGGCUGUUUUUCUAUUUUUUUAAAAAAGUCCAGUGGCCCUGAUAUAUGAAUACACAGUUAUUUUUCUAGGAACAGACAUAAAAAUUGGGAAUGCAUAUGCAUUCCUAGAGAAACAAAUUUUUGUUGUCACAAAGUAAACAAGCUUAUAUUAUUUGUUAGAGCUCAGAAACAAAAUGAUAACCUUAUAAAACAUUUAAAAAAGAACUAACACCAAUUCUACUGAAACUACUCUGCAUAAUAGAAGACAGAAUACUUCCAAAUUCAUUCUAUGAGCCAGUAUUACCCUGAUACCAAACCAGACAAAGACACAUCAAAAAAAGAAAAGAAAAACACAGGCCAAAUCCCUGAUGAACAUUGAUGCAAAAAUCCUCAACAAAAUACUAGCAAACUGAAUUCAACAACACAUUAAAAAGAUCAUUCAUCAUGACUAAAUUGAAUUUAUCCCAGGGAUGCAAGGAUGGUUCAACUUACACAAAUUAAUGAAGAUGAUACAUCAUAUCAACAGAAUGAAAGACAAAAAUUACAUGAUCAUUUCAAUUGAUACUGAAAAAGCAUUUGAUAAAAUUUAAUAUCUUUUCAUGAUUAAUAAAACCUUCAAAAAAUUGGUAUAAAGGAAUAUACUUCAACCCAAUAAAAGCCAAAUAGGACAGACCCACAGCUAGUAUCAUAUUGAAUGAAGGAAAACUGAAAACUUUUCCUCUAGGAUCUGCAACAUGACAAGGAUGCCUACUUUCACCACUGUUAUUCAGCAUAGUACCAGAAGUCCUAAAUGGAGCAAUCAAACGAGAAAGAUAUAAAGGGCAUCUAAAUUGGAAAGGAAGAAGUCAAAUUAUUCUUGUUUGCAGAUGAUAUAAUCUUAUAUUUGGAAAAACCUAAAGACUCCACACACACACACAAAAACUAUUCAAACUGAUAAGUUUGGUAAAGUUUCAGGAUAAAAAAAUCGACAUACAAAAAUUAGUAGCAUUUCUAUAUGCCAACAGCAAACAAUCUGAAAAAAAUUUAAGAAAGUAACCACAUUUACAAUAACUACAAAAAAUAACUGAGAAUUAGCUUCACCAAAGAAGUGAAAGAUCUCUACAGUGAAAACUAUAAAACACUGAUAAAAGAAGUUGAAGAGAAUACACAAAAAAUGAAAAGAUAUUUCAUGUUCAUAGAUUGCAAGAAUCAAUAUUAUUAAAAUGUCCAUAUAUCCAAAGCAUUCUGCAGAUUCAAUGCAGCCUCUAUCAAAAUAGCAAUGACAUUCUUCACAGAAAUAGAAAAAAAUAAUCCUAACAUUUAUAUGCAACCACAAAAGACCCAGAAUAGCCAAAGCUAUCCUGAGCAAAACAAACAAAACUGGAGCAAUCAUAGUACCUGACUUUAAAUAAUACUACAGAGCUAUGGAAACCAAAACAGCAUGGUACUGACUGGCACAAAAACAGACACAUAGACCAAUGGAUCAGAACAGAGAAUCCAGAAACAAAUUUAUACACCUACAGUGAACUCAUUUUUGACAAAGGUGCCAAGAACAUACACUGGGGAAAGGACAGUCUCUCCAAAAAGCAGUGCUGGGAAAACUGAAUAUCCAGAUGCAGAAACUAGACCCCUAUCUCUCACAAUAUACAUAAAUCAAAUUAAAAUGGAUUACAGACUUACAUAUAAGACCUAAAACUAUGAAACUACUGAAAAAAAAAAAGAACAUUGGAGAAACUCUCCUGGACAUUGGACUGGACAAAGAUUUCUUGAGUAAUGCCCCAUGAGCACAGGCAACCAAAGCAAAAAUGGGCAAAUGGAAUCGCAUCAAGCUAAAAAGCUUCUGCACAGCAAAGGAAACAAUCAACAAAGUGAACAGACAACCCAUAGCAUGGGAGAAAAUAUUUGCAAGCUACCCAUCUGACAAAGGAUUAACACCCAGAAUAUAUAGGGAGCUCAAACAACUCUAUAGGGAAAAAAAUCCAAUAAUCCUAUUCUAAAAUGGGCAAAAGAUCUGAAUAGACAUUUCUCAAAAGAAGACAUACAAAUGACAAACAGAUAUAUGAAUUGGUGCUCAACAUCAUUGAUCAACAGAGAAAUGCAAAUCAAAACUACAAUGAGAUAUCAUCUCACCUAAGUUAAAAUGGCUUAUAUCCAAAGAUAGGCAAUAACAAAUGCUGGCAAGGACGUGGAGAAAAGGCAACCCUUGUACACUGUUGGUAGGAAUGUAAAUUAGUACAAUCACCGUGGAGAACAGUUUGGAGUUUCCUCAAAAAACUAAAAAUAGAGCUACGAUAUGAUCCAGCAAUCCCACUGCUAGGUAUAUACCCAAAAGAAAGGAGAUCAGUAUAUUGAAAAGAUGUCUGCAUUUCUACGUUUGUUGCAGCACUGUUUACAAUACCUAAAAUUUGAAAGCAACCUAAGCAUCCAUCAACAAAUGAAUGGAUAAAGAAAAUGUACAUAUACACAAUGGAGUACUAUUCAGCCGUAAAAAAGAAUAAUAUCCUGUCAUUUGCAACAACACGGAUGGAACUGGAGGUCAUUAUGUUAAGUGAAAUAAGCCAGGCACAGAAAGACAAACUUUUGCCUGUUCUCACUUAUCUGUGGGAUUUAAAAAUAAAAACAAUUGAACUCAUGGAGAUAGUAGAAUGAUGGUUACCAGAGACUGAAAAGGAUAGUUUGGCAGUGGGGGUGAGGGGUAAGUGGGGAUGGUUAAUGGGUACAAAAAUAUAAUUAGAUAGAAGGAAUAAAAUUUAGUAUUUGAUAGCAUGACAGAGUGACUACUAUCAACAAUAAUUUAUUGUACAUUUAAAAAUAACUAAAAGACUAUAAUUGGACUGUUUGAAACACAAAGAAGAAUAAAUGCUUGAGAUGAUGGAUAUCCUAUUUACCCGGAUGUGAUUAUUAUGCAUUGUAUGUCUAUAUCAAAAUAUUUCAUGUACACUAUAACUAUAUAGAUGUACGAUGUACUCACAAAAAUUUAAAACAAAA
rnacentral:lncRNA from 1 species